rnacentral:rRNA from 1 species
GAUGAACGCUGGCGGCGUGCCUAAUACAUGCAAGUCGAGCGAACAGACAAGGAGCUUGCUCCUCUGACGUUAGCGGCGGACGGGUGAGUAACACGUGGAUAACCUACCUAUAAGACUGGGAUAACUUCGGGAAACCGGAGCUAAUACCGGAUAAUAUAUUGAACCGCAUGGUUCAAUAGUGAAAGACGGUUUUGCUGUCACUUAUAGAUGGAUCCGCGCCGCAUUAGCUAGUUGGUAAGGUAACGGCUUACCAAGGCGACGAUGCGUAGCCGACCUGAGAGGGUGAUCGGCCACACUGGAACUGAGACACGGUCCAGACUCCUACGGGAGGCAGCAGUAGGGAAUCUUCCGCAAUGGGCGAUAGCCUGACGGAGCAACGCCGCGUGAGUGAUGAAGGUCUUCGGAUCGUAAAACUCUGUUAUUAGGGAAGAACAAAUGUGUAAGUAACUAUGCACGUCUUGACGGUACCUAAUCAGAAAGCCACGGCUAACUACGUG